CGCGGAGCAAGAGCAUCCAAGCCCCCGCCCCGCCCGCCCCAGAGGCCGGGUCUCCGCCGCUCAGGCCCCCGCUGCACCGCCCGCCCCUCCCUGCGGAUGGGCACCGCCGCCCCGGCGCAGGGAUGCCAGCGAGCCCCGCAACCGGGCUGCCCCUCACGCACGCGAGCACGGGUGGGCCACGCUGAAGGGGGGCGGGGGCCCCCCCACAGAGAGAGGCCUCCGGCACAGGGCCCCCCCCCCCCAAUGCCUGCCCGCCUGCGAAGGGGCCGGGAGCCUUGGCAAAAGGCAGCUAAACGACCGGAGCCUUUUGCACGGGGUUCGGCAUGUCCCCCCACCUGGCUUCCGCAUGUCCCCCACCUGGCUUCAUUCGUUCUGCAUUGAAGAGCCAUGCUUGAGUUGGGGGAAGUGCACUCUCUUGCUAAUGAAACUUAGCAACUGAAUAAAUAUAAAAAGAAAAAACUCCAGUCUGACUGGAUUCGUCCAGAUGCAGACGUCAGAGCAUUCGGAGGAAGAAAAAUUGAGCCUUGUGAGCUAGUCUGAGACUACAGAAGAGGAAAUGUGGGAACUUGCAUAUAAUACUGGUGACCCAACAAUGCCACUGGUGCACCAUAAACCAGAGUGGACACCUCUCCACCCCAUCAUGGCAUCAAUCCAAAGAGAGGAGUAUAUAGUCUCAUUCAUUUGCAACCAUCUCAACACCAAAAGCCCCUUGUAUUUUCCACAGGGCGAGGGUUACUGCCAAACACCUCAUCCUGGUAUAAGCUCCAACUGGCCAUCUUUGUUUUCUUGCUAGUAUGAUCAAGUGACUAAUUCAUAUGACAAAGGGUUCAAUCCUGAACAUCCAAUGGAAUCAGUGGGAGAUGUGUCCCCAACAACUACAGUUUACCUUUAGCUAGCUUCUCUUUAGAUGCCAUCUGUUUAGUGAUGUUAUCACUAAACAGUCUAGCUUAUUGCUUAGAUCUAGCUUUAAAUGAUUCACUGGAUGUUUUUCUUAACAUGUCAGAAAAGUCCAAGGAAUUUCUGUACUAUAUCAACAAAUCAAUCCUACUAUAUACAAGCUGAUCACAGUUUUAGUAUUCUUGUUAAUUGUAGAUUUUACUAUAGAGGUGGAAUUAGAGAAAUAAAGCAAGACAAAAUCCUCUAAUCAUCCUUGACUAGAGAGAAGGGUAAACACUGCUCAGUAUCCUCCGAGUCAUAUUAACAUCAGUAUAGCAUCUCAAAAGGGGGCUGGAUCAGAGUGCUUCUUUUGAAGAGCUUGCAAGUUCUCCAAGUUUAGUUGAAAGGGAAAGAAAUUGAACAAGAGCAAUGUUUCUUUUUGGACUGGAAAUGUGAAAGCAUUUCCAAUAGUUCAGAAUAAUCCAAACUGGGCAUUUAAAAUCUUCAUAUUAAAGUACAUGGUGAAGUACCCUAGCUUACUGUAGUCAACAGUAUGAGAACACUUGAGACAGGUCAACACAGAUACUGGUUCUUAUGCUAAAUUAGUAGAGGGUGAGUGGGAGACAAUGGACGAGCUGUUUUACUUUAUACUACUAACAUUUUUUUCAAAGGACAGUUUCCAAACUUCUCAAUGAUUAGUUUUCUAACCCAGCCUCGUGCAGCUAGGGAAGCUGUGUACAAAAAUUGUUUUACAUUGGUGUUACUGUGUCAAGAAACACCUAUUUACGGUCAUAUACAGCCAAAUGUAGUCUGUUCACCACACAUAUGGGGCACAGCUCUUGUGAAAAGGCUGUCACUCCCAAUACCCGACACAGUGAGAGAAGAAUGAAGAAACAUUUCUGAAGAAUUUCAUAACCAGAAGCAAUUUCCUACUUCCUUGGCAUUUUAAGUCAGUGAAAAGGGCAGCAGAAUAAGUGGUGCUAAUGAUCAGGAGGCAGUGUCAAAGAGUUGUUCACAAGAAAAAAAAUGGACAGGCCAUUAUUCUAAAGUUUAGGAGAAUAAAAAUCACCAAACCCCUCUUAAAUCCCUAUACUCCUUGAAAAGGCUCAGCUACCAAACGGAAUAAUCCAACAUUGUCUACAGAGAGCUUUGUGGUUACUUUUCCAAAUGCAAAGGGUGCCCCCUGCUGCCCACAAAUGGCUUCUUCAUUAAGCACCAGAAUAAAUGACUAGGUGGGCUCAAGCAGAAAUUCCUGGGGAGAGCCAUGAAAUUAACAUAAUUCUCACCACUUUUUACUCAAUCAUAUUAAAGAUUAGCAAUCACAAAAUUAUCUGAUUGUUACCAGGAGCAAAAUCAUGAGUGUGUUUCUGAACCUUAAACCGGAAGGAAAUUUUAUAGAGAGUUCUCUGCCCAAAAGGCAACUCACUACUGAGUGGAAAAUGCAGAAAAUUGUUUUAUCCUUUAUUUUUAGCUCAUCUUUCCUUCAGAGAAAUUAAGCCUUCUACUAGUCCCAUCAUUUUAUACAGUAUUUGCCUUAAAUUUUCAAGUCUCUCCUUGUGAUAUCAGUAACAAUCCACCAUGGACCUAAAUGAAAGGACUAGUAAAUUUAUAGAUUUUAAGGCCAGACGGGACCAUCAGAAUCUAGUCUAACCUGCGAUUAAUAAUUCAAAUAUUAUUCCUCUCUCCAACUUUUAUCUGCCAAACUCUUAGGAGUUUGGUUUGCCUUGCAAAAACUAAAUUAGGUGUUUAUGUCAAGGAAAGCAAAUGGUAGAAGAAUGAAUUCAGAUGGAAUUGAUAAACCUUAAGGCUAGACUAUUCUCAGUGGUCUAAUUUACCCAUCCAACUAACCCAGUUUUCAGUCUUUAUUCCCCUUUUCAAAAGCAACUAAGAUGAGUCCUUUUGUUCGGUUUCAGACAACACAGGGGUGAAGGGAAUGGAAGAGAGCUGUUCACUGUGCAAACCCCAGCUGCAGCAGCCAAAAAAAAAAUAAAAAUGGUGGUUUUGUUAUUAUGUAGGAAGCUGAACCUGAUGUGUGAACAAUAUAUUAUACCACUUAUAAUAAAGGCAGCUUCUAUUGUACAAAAUCAGGGUAGAAAAGAAAGGUGGUUUAUUCAGAGAAUUAAAAAGAGUGACUAGAAGAUAUUGGGGAGGAUUGGGGGAAGUUCAAAAAGACAGCUGCAUAAAGUGAACAUCAAACUUUCAGCUUUUUGCAGCCAUGUGGAGGGGCUAGAAUCAGGUGAAUGGACAGAGGAGUAAACGGUUGAGUGAGCAAAUACUUCUGAAAAUAAAGGAAAAUUUAGGACUGCAUCUGAAGAUACUUUGGAGCUAGUGAAAUAGGACAGGAGAUGAUGUGAGCUUACUUCCUGGAACAAGAACAAAUUGCCUAGUAGCAGCAUUCUGGUCUCCUUGAACAUUAGUGAGAAGGACCGGAUCUAGGAAGAACUGAAAUAGGAAAUAUAGGAAAGGAUUAAGAUUUCUGCAGAAGUGUUAAUAAAUUACACAGGUUACUGAAAAGUGAUUGGAGGUCAAGGAAAACUAGAUUUCUGACUAUAAGAGGAAAGCUAGGAAGAGUGAUACAGGAGUUGGAGUCAUGGGAAAAGGACUUUAAACCAGAUCUAUAGUUUUUAAAUAUUCUGUACUAGAAAGUUGCAGCAUAAUCACUAUCCAAGAGUCAGAAGGGAAGAGAGAUAAGAUAAGCGGGAUCAAAGUGUUGAGAUGUGGAGCAGGGUGAUGUUCACAUGUAAAUGAUAUUCAAAGAUGAAACUAUGAAAGAGAGAGAGGAGGACAGAAGACAGCUAAAAACAGCCCCGAGGCACUCAGUGGAAAGGGACAAAGAGGAAGCCACCCCAUCAGAAAUUAAAGGAAGAUUUUGAACUGGGAUGUGUUUUGGAAACCUGGUUUCCUCAAUCAAGACACUGAAGGACAGAAGGGUAGUGCUGAUGUUGUACGGAGAUAGGGUAGAAUUGAUGGUAAGACACACAGAGGUUAGCACCAAAUAGGUGAUUCUAUUACUUGAAAUUCAUAGCUGGUCCUUUGUCUGAAAAGUGCAUCAAAACUACAUUAAAUUUUACUAGUCUGA